UGAAGUUGUGUGCGGCAGGAUGUGCAGAAUGAGUGCCCAGCAAAUAGAUGGCUCCUUAGAUGGACUUGCUGAAGGAGCUACUUGAUCACACACUACAGGUCCCUGAGAUGGAGCUGCUGUAGGAGUCGCUUUAUCACACAGUCUGGGCCAUUUCCACGCUGUGAUUUCCUAUACUGGUCUGUGGAGAGGCUUGUGUUUGGAUCCACAUAUACCCAUCCUCCACAUAUUGGCACAUGCGGCCUUGACUGUGCUUGCGUGUGUAAUCUAUGGAGGGACAGCAGCCUGACAGUGUGGAGAAGGGCACCAAAGAGGCCAUCUUUGUGCUCGCUCCAAUACUGGCACAGACUGGCAAAAGCAGGAUGUGUGGUGGUGUGCAUUGCAAGGUGUGAUAAUUAUAAGGGUCAGAUGGUGUCAUUCCUUGAGAUGGACCUUGAACUGAGACCCGUUUUGUGCAUGAGACAGCUGACAUGUCUACAUACACUCAGUGACCACUUUAUUAGUCUUCCCAGGCCUUCUGGAAACUUACUACAGCUGCCCUUUGUAAUUUUUCCACAAGGGGGCGCAUCCGCUCUGCAAGGUUCUUUUCCACGUCAACAAAUCCAGAGUGAGAUCCAAGGCGGGGUAACUCACCCAGAUGGUGGCACUCUUGAUGUCCUUGAGGGGCUUGACUUUGUGGGCCUCUGGCUUAUGUCCAACCUGCUGGUCUUCAUAGUGACUGAAUUAAUGUCAUUAUUUUCAUGUCCCUGAAUAACAGGCUCUAAGGCACAGACACAGAAAUUGAGAGAGAAAAAAAUGACCUGCAGGACUGAGAUGUAGGCAAGGCUAAACGGGAAUGGAAAAUAUCAAAAUAAUGGCAAUCGAUUGCCUGACAGCUGCAGAGCUUUCUCUCUGUCCCCUCAGCUAUCCUUUCGCUUCCUCCGUUUUUGCUGUAUUUUACAUUGCAGUUUUGCUUUUCUGUUAUCUCUUUAUUCGCUUUUCAUUCUUGUAACUGCGAAAGGAAGGUUCACCAGAGCGUGGGUCUUGAUUGGUUUUGAUUUAUUUACGUUUGGCUGUGCAACAAUUCAGUGUGUUUGUACACAUUUACCAAAACAUCAGUAAGUGAAGAUGAAAUGUUUUACUUCUGAGUCAAAAUGCUGUAAUAAACCUGGCAUUACCUAC